UUCUCCCUGACAGAGGACUGUGGGUUUCAGCUCCUCUGUGUUUUUGGACUCCUCACAAGCUAAAGUGGGCAAACCAGGCUGCUGGUCUGACAGAAGUGCCCCAUCUUGGUUUGAUUCAUGUGCCUUGUCAGUGUGUUUCUGGCAGAGACCUGAGGAGCAGAGAUGAGACCCCCCUUGUCUGCAUUACUGUGAAUGACCUAUCUGGGAAAUGAGGAUGCUGUAGGUUGGAGGUGCUGCCUGGGAGCUCGCUCGUGACACAGACACACAAUCAGAUGCUGAAUAAAAGGUUUGCUUGGCGUGGAGCGGAAGGCCCUGUAUCCGCGGCUCCGACGGCACCGUCAGCGUAAUGUUCCCCAGCUCCUCCUCACCCUUGGGUGAUUGCGGAGAAAGAAACAGCCUGAGGCUGGGAGCGACGAGCGAAGAACGUCCCCGCGUGUGCAUCGCCCUUCCCGCGCCACAGUCCCGGGGUGAAGGUGCCCUGGGAGGCAGCCCCGUGCUGCUGCAGACGGGGUGAUGCUCACGCCUUGGGUGGCCGCCAGCCGCCCAGAGAUGAUCCAAACGCCGGAUCCCCGGGCGCGCUGGGGCCGAGCAGAGCCGAGGCGCUGUCGCCAGCUCGGGGGCCCCGGGCUCUCUCUCGGCGUGCGGACCUCGUGGGACCUGUCAAGUCUCAUUGAGCAUCAGGCUACGCAGCUGGCUUGCGCCGUCUGCUCCGCUCCGGCCGCGGCGUGCCGGGCCGUGUGCCACAGCCGGGUGACCCU